CUCAGUUCAUAUAGGUGUCUUGAGUCAGUAUCUUACGGCAUCUAUAACGACUUAUAACUGGAGACAUGAUAUUCAUUUGGUCACUGAUGUUAUCACUGGUGAAUCUCGACUCUGUCUUUCCGACAAUUGAAAGAUGAUCAGCAGCAGUAGAGGUCUUCUCGUCUGGAGUCACCACUGCCUACCUGUGUACCUGCACCUGAGAGCUGGGUAGAGAACACUCGUGCAGAGCUCUGAGCAGUGAGGGAAUGGGAUGCUACAGCAGUUUCUCAUUUCUGCCAACCCUCGGGUAAAAUGCCACUGAGCUAUCAAACUCCAGCUGCAUAGAGCAGCAUUCCUCUCAGUCUCCCAGGCCAGUGUCUGCUGGGAUGACCGUCCGAGAGGCUGCAAAAGCCCAAUUCCAAUCCUUAGGGCAUCCUGUUUCAAGAAUAAGAAAGAAAGCA